rnacentral:rRNA from 1 species
GACAGAGGUGCCCAAGCGUUAGGCGGAAAUCACUGGGCUUAAAGCGUGUGUAGGCGGAUGCCUAAGUACCUUGUGGAAUCCCACGGCUCACCCGUGGAACUGCUUGGUAUACUGGGUGUCGUUGAGGCCACUUAGGGGCUACCGGGAACAAAUGGUGGAGCGGUGAAAUGCGUAGAUAUCAUUUGGAACGCCAACGGUGAAAACAGGUAGCUGGGAGUGUGCUGACGCUGAGACACGAAAGCCAGGGGAGCAAACGGG